rnacentral:misc_RNA from 1 species
GAUGAAGAACGUAGCGAAAUGCGAUAAGUAAUGUGAAUAGCAGAAUUCAGUGAAUCAUCGAAUCUUUGAACGCACAUUGCGCCCGCUAGUAUUCUGGCGGGCAUGCCUGUCCGAGCGUCAUUUCAACCCUCAAGCCCCCGGGCUUGGUGUUGGGGAUCGGCGAGCCUCCGCGCCCGCCGUCCCCUAAAUCUAGUGGCGGUCUCGCUGUAGCUUCCUCUGCGUAGUAGCACACCUCGCACUGGGAAACAGCGCGGCCACGCCGUUAAACCCCCAACUUCUGAACGUUUGACCUCGGAUCAGGUAGGAAUACCCGCUGAACUUAAGCAUAUCAAUAAGCGGGA